ACUUUUCGCGCCUCUUUUCAAAAAGAGCCUGAUAACUGUUAAAUUUCAUGCAUAUUAUUGCUUAAGAGGCUGUCUACGAUAGAACCAUGCAAAACCAAAAAAAUAUUAUGGAAGGUGUUGUCAAAUUUUCAGACCUUUUUAUGAUAUUUCAGAAGUAUUUUACUAGUUAUAUCGUAUUUUGUGGCAAAAUCGAUGAGUACCUCCCGAACUAACACCUAAUGGGCCGUUCUAUUUUUAGCACAAUAUACACAUCAAUUUCACGCAAAAAUGGUGUAUUUUCAGCUAGUCAUUAGAAUAUCAAAAACAGAAUAAUCACAUAUAAUUUCAGUUCCGCAUAGUCUAUUUGAACGGUAUCUUUGAAUUGGUGAACAUAACUUUAAAAUUCAUUCUCCAGAUUUAAGUCGUAUAGUGUUUGAACUAGUAAGAUUAUGUAACUUUCAAAUUAAAUGCUAUUUUUAGUGAGUCAUAAAACCCCAAGAAACGCUUAAAAUAAAUAGUUUCGUGGUUUAAAACACAGAAUUAUGCAUAAAUUAUCACUACUAAACGGGAAUUUGGUUGCAAAUAAAUAGAAAGUCAUUUAUUUGGGGUAUGAAAUUCGGAAAUUUUAUCAAAAAAUUAUCUCCCUUUGUGGAACUCUCAUGGGAAGAAGGUAAGGAAGAAUGAUUCAUAAGGCAGAUGACAACAACAUGGAAUGGGUAGAAAGUGAUGGAAGAUGAAUUUAUAGCCUUGGUGAAAAUUUCAAGGAAAGAGGGUGUUUAUUUACAUCAGGAUUGCAAGAAGUAUACUUCAGCACAAUUGAGGUUUUUAAAUGUCCAUCCGAAAUUGUGAAUUCCAGAAUCUUUGUUCACUGCACUGCACAGCUGGUGUGCAUUAACUAUGAUCUAGACUUAACAGACAUCAUCAUGCCUAUGCCAAUUAUGGACAUUGACUUUGAAUAAAGAACAACAUGUUGUCACCCAUUACAUGACAAAUCUAACUCAGAUGUGAUAGAGGGGGGUUGGGUUGACUCCAAAGCCGAUAGAUCUGCCACAUUGCUCAAGCUGACAACACAUGUUCCAUUGAUUCUGACAAGACAAUGCAUUGAGAAACACAAAAAUUGUGUCCAUAUUAAGACAGAUGUAAAGAAAGAGUUGAAAGAUGUUUCUGAAGUAAGACAGCCAUACCCCUGCUUUCCAAGGAACCAAACAAAUACUUCCCUUGUAUUGACAUGGUGAAAAAUGGGGAGUGUCCAGAAAAUGACAAAGACCUCCAGAAUGUCAUAAGUGAUAUUGUUGCAAUUGAAUGUAACCAAUCAUUAUCCAAUAUAUAUUAUCUAUGACUGAACUCAUCAGUGGUUAAGGAAAACUGUUUUAAUUUUUUAUUCACUGCUUGGAGGUUAUUUUACAUCUCUCAGGAUUUUCUAGAUGUCAGAUUUCCUAAAACUCACAAUUGUGCUUUUUUUUUUUUGUUUUUUUUUUUUUUUGUAUAAAUGUACAGAAAAAUUGAAUGUUCUUCUAUGGGAUAUUUUUGCCAAUAGUUUCAGUUGAAAGUUACAACAACAAAAAAGAAGAAGAAAAAAAGAAUUGCAAUGAUGAAAUCAGUAUGUUUAUAAUGAAAGUGUCUUUCAUGAUCUUGUAUGUGACGCUCAUGAAUUUUUUACAUUACCUGACUUACAGUGUAAUAUCACCCCCCCCCCCCAUUCUUUAUGGCUUUACUUACAAUAAAACUACAUAUGCAGAGUGAAUUUAAAACAUGAGAGAUAUAUCAUAUGUUGUAAUUGCCUGCUGAAUUUGAUAGAAAGCAAAAACGCUUUGAAUACACGAUUCUUGUACAUGGCUACAAUAAAUGUACUAUUUAUUGGUGGAAGGUAAUGGUGGAAGAUGUUUUCAAAAUAACCCCC